AUUGAACGCUGGCGGCAGGCCUAACACAUGCCAGUCGAGCGGAUGAAGGGAGCUUGCUCCUGGAUUCAGCGGCGGACGGGUGAGUAAUGCCUAGGAAUCUGCCUGGUAGUGGGGGAUAACGUCCGGAAACGGGCGCUAAUACCGCAUACGUCCUGAGGGAGAAAGUGGGGGAUCUUCGGACCUCACGCUAUCAGAUGAGCCUAGGUCGGAUUAGCUAGUUGGUGGGGUGAAGGCCUACCAAGGCGACGAUCCGUAACUGGUCUGAGAGGAUGAUCAGUCACACUGGAACUGAGACACGGUCCAGACUCCUACGGGAGGCAGCAGUGGGGAAUAUUGGACAAUGGGCGAAAGCCUGAUCCAGCCAUGCCGCGUGUGUGAAGAAGGUCUUCGGAUUGUAAAGCACUUUAAGUUGGGAGGAAGGGCAGUAAGUUAAUACCUUGCUGUUUUGACGUUACCAACAGAAUAAGCACCGGCUAACUUCGUG
rnacentral:rRNA from 1 species